GCCAAUUCUCUAGCCUGACAAACAACUAUACAACCCUAUAAACUUAUUUCCCUCUUUUUAAAACAUUUUAUUAAUUAAGUAAAGGCGAUAAAAAAAUUUCUUAGAGCAAUACAAACAGUACCGUAAGGGAACGAUGAAAUAAAAAUGAAACAACUUUCAAGCAUAAAAAAGUAGAGCUUUCCUCUUGUACCUUUUGCAUCAUGGUUUAACUAGUUCCUUUUAGGCAAAAAGACUUUUAGUCUAACUCCCCGAAUCUAGGCGAGCUACUCUAAGACAGCUUUUUAGAGCCAACUCAUCUCUGUUGCAAAAGAGUGAGAAGAUCUUAUGGUAGCGGUAACAGACCAAACGAGCCUAGUGAUAGCUGGUUGCUUUUCAAAAGGAUUUUAGUCCAACUUAAAGUUAUUUAUAUCAUUAAAAAUUUUAAUUUUAAAGUAAUUCAAAUAAGGUUCAGCCUAUUUGAAAAAGGAUACAACCUCUACCACUGGGUUACAUGCAGUAUAAAAACAAAGUAGGCUUAAAAGCAGCCACCUCAAAAAGCGUCAUAGCUUAAUCUAAAGCAUUUUUAUAAUUCCUAAAACUUCCCUCAACCCUUCAUCACCAAAAAGCAAUUCCAUAUUCUUAUAGAAAAUUUUAUGUUAAAACUAGUAACAAGAAGUUAACCUUCUCUUAAAUGUGCCUGUAAAUCAAUACGGAUACCCCAUUGAUAAUUAACGUUUAUAAACCCAUAGUAACCCACCCCCACGAAACCCCUACUAUCAUUAACGUCAACCUAACACAAGAACAUUAAAAGAAAGAUUAAAAGAUAAAGAAGGAACUCGGCAAAUAUUAGCCUCGCCUGUUUACCAAAAACAUCGCCUCCUGACCAAUUAUAAGAGGUCAAGCCUGCCCAGUGACAUUGUUCAACGGCCGCGGUAUCCUAACCGUGCGAAGGUAGCGUAAUCACUUGUUCUUUAAAUGAGGACUAGUAUGAACGGCUUCACGAAAGCUAUACUGUCUCCUUUAUCCAAUCAGUUAAACUAAUCUUCCCGUGAAGAAGCGGGAAUUUAUUUAUAAGACGAGAAGACCCUAUGGAGCUUUAAAUAUUUUUAAACAUUCGAAUUUUACAUUACUAUUUCAGAAAACUUUACUAAGCCCAUCGUUUUGUUUUAAGUUUUAGGUUGGGGUGACCACGGAGUAUAACUUAACCUCCACGCAGAAAGAGACUUUUCCUCUAAGCAAAAAGCUACACCUUUAUGCAUCAAGAAAUUGACCUUAAUUGACCCAUUAUUUGAUCAACGAACCAAGUUACCCUAGGGAUAACAGCGCAAUCCGCUUUAAGAGCUCCUAUCGACAAGCGGGCUUACGACCUCGAUGUUGGAUCAGGGUAUCCUAGUGGUGCAGCAACUACUAAUG
rnacentral:rRNA from 1 species